rnacentral:rRNA from 1 species
AGUGAAAGCUGGCGGUAGGCCUAACAAAUGCAAGCCGAACGGCAGCACAGGAGAGCUUGCUCUCUGGGUGGCGAGUGGCGGACGGGUGAGGAAUACAUCGGAAUCUACUCUGUCGUGGGGGAUAACGUAGGGAAACUUACGCUAAUACCGCAUACGACCUACGGGUGAAAGCAGGGGUCCUUCGGGCCUUGCGCGAUUGAAUGAGCCGAUGUCGGUUUAGCUAGUUGGCGGGGUAAAGGCCCACCAAGGCGACGAUCCGUAGGUGGUCUGAGAGGAUGACCAGCCACAGUGGAACGGGGAAACGGGCCAGACGCCUACGGGAUGCAGCAGUGGGGAAUAUUGGACAAUGGGCGCAAGCCUGAUCCAGCCAUACCGCGUGGGUGAAGAAGGCCUUCGGGUUGUAAAGCCCUUUUGUUGGGAAAGAAAUCCAGCUGGCUAAUACCCGGUUGGGAUGACGGUACCCAAAGAAUAAGCACCGGCUAACUUCGUGCCAGCAGCCGCCGUAA